CGUGUCCUACGGGGGGCAACAGUGGGGGAUAUUGCACAAUGGGGGAAACCCUGAUGCAGCGACGCCGCGUGUGGGAAGACGGUCUUCUGGAUUGUAAACCACUGUCCCCAGGGACGAAAAUGACGGUACCUGGGGAGGAAGCUCCGGCUAACUACGUGCCAGCAGCCGCGGUAAUACGUAGGGAGCAAGCGUUGUCCGGAAUUACUGGGUGUAAAGGGAGCGUAGGAGGGGAGGCAAGUUGGGUGUCAAAACUAGCGGCUCAACCGGUAGUCGCACUCAAAACUGCAGCUCUUGAGGGAAGUAGG
rnacentral:rRNA from 1 species